AGUUUGUUGUACCCUGAGGAAUGCUUCAAUGAUGGCUCGGCCUGUUGGCCAAGAGUGCUGGUUCUAAUGGAAAACGAAUUUAUUACAUGUCUAAUUCAUUUUUAUUUGUUAAAUAAUAUUAGUCAACUUGCAUCUGUUGUGCCCGGACGAAUACGUUGGAAAUUGCUGAUGGUUUAGGAUUUAUUAAAAGGACUGCGCUCUGUUGUAUCUGGACGACCGUGAUUGAAUAGCAGCUCGACCCAAUGGCCAAGAGUGCUGGUUCUGAUGAAUAACGGAUUUAUUAUGCGGACUGUGCUACCGUUGUGGUGCCAGGAUUACAACUAAACUAAAUAUUUAUGGUAGGCAUCGCUAUUGAAUUUAUUGCACGGUCUGUGCAUCUGUUUUGUCUGGUUGACUGAUUGAUUAGCAGCCAUCUGACCUGAAAAGUGCUGGCUCUAAUUCAUAAUAGUUGUAUUACACAGAUUGUGUAUGGCCUUUGGUAAAGCUACAAAAUUUUCACUUCUGUUGUUGUACUCACAAUGUGUUGAUAGUUCUGUGCUGUUGGUUUUUUUUUUUAGCCAACGCUUGCUCUCCCUUACUGUUCGACAUUCCUCCAAAAUGGUAGUAUCGCAUGUCAAACCUCGAUUCCAUAAGAUCUUGCUAUUGGACAAUGGAGGAUCUUCACGAUUACUACGUGCUGUCUGCUCUCGGAGUUCAUUGAAAACAUUUAUUCCUUUUUUAAUUUACUACGUAAUUCUUUCACCAAUAUUAUUGUAUUGAUUUACGUGUGAGUUUCUCAUUAAACUGUAUUUUUCUAAUGAUAAUUAUAUCAAUUUGUAUUCCAAGUACAUUACUUCAAAAUGAACGAAAUUUUUUUAUGUGUGUGAUCGAGACAAUAAA